ensembl:lncRNA
CUCUCAGUAUUAUUGUGUGCUCACUGUGUUUUCUUUAAUUAUAUGGAGUGGGAUUUUGUUCAAUUUCACAGUUGCACAAACAUGCAGCAAUUAUUCCUGAUAAGUGAUAACGAAUCACUGAACAUUAAAUAAGUGUGUUCUUGUGUGCGGGCAAGCAGGCACGCAUGUUUGUGCCUCUGCACCACGGACUUGAGCUCCAUGUCACAAACUGCUCAUGGACAUAGAAUUCCAAUUAGCGUUAAAUAUAACAAGAGCAACUGUUCUGCAUGGGUGUGUCACUGUGCAUCCAUAAUCCCAUCCAUAAUCCCAUCCAUAAUCAUAUUCACUGAUCACUUGUUUGUUUUGGCAGCACUGUGGCCUUGAGUCAUUUGUUUGUGUGUUUGGAUUGCAGUGCAAACAGUGUAGUAGGAGUUUUCAUUGAACAUGUUAAUCCUGCAAAUGGGAACUGGACAGAAACUGGAGAAGCUCCACCAGGAAAGUUUUCGGUUAGCAGAGCAGAGAGCCGAGGGAGGAGGAGCAUCACUGCGAAAACCUUUGCCAGCAUUUGUCCAUCCAGCAGCCAGCAGUCAUGGCAGCUGGAUGGAGGUUCAGCUGAAGAGCUUGUCCUUGAAGUUACUUCACCCUUAAGAAGGCAAUUCUUGAAAUGGACAGACUGCAUCACUCCAAUUUUCUUACAGGGACACUAGACACAAACAGGCUUUUGUGCAUCAAUUGCCGCUGCCCAUUUGCAUUGCAUACAAAGGCACUCUGCGAAAGCCAUUUUAAAGUGAAGGACGGUUAACAACAAGCAUACAUUGCCUCCU